AAUUUUCUCAUUGACAAUUUAAGAGAUCAACCAAAACUUUCAAAACAACUGUAUUAAAAAAAACAUGAGUUGAGAAACACAGUCCCCACAAGACAUGUGAAAUUGGUUAUGUAAUAAGAGUGGACCAUUACCAAAACAAGUUGUAAACUUAGGAAGAAGGUGUUGUGAAUGUGUUGUCGUAUUCAUUACGUACAAUGAGAUUAUAUACAUCACAAGAGAUCUCAACAAUAGAUCCUUAGUUAUCAUAAUCUAUAAGUAUAUUCUAUAACAACUAUGAUACGAUCUUAUCUUGACUCCAACAAAGCUUGCUCCUCAAGUCGAACCAGACCGAGCUCAACCGUACCAAACCAAUGCUUACGCUAACACUCCCCCUCAAGUAGGUGAAUGUAGGUUACGAACACCUAACUUGGAUAACAAGUAGUUAAACGCAGGAGCACCCAACGCCUUGGUCAUGAUGUCUGCUAGCUGCUCUGUAGUUCGUACAUGCCGUGUCACAAUUAACCGGUCCUGUAUUGCAUCUCGAACACUAUGACAGUCGGACUCAAUGUGUUUAGUCCGCUCAUGAAACACAGGAUUGUUUGCGAUGUACAGAGCUGACUUGCUAUCACAGAACAUCUCCAUAGGUACCUUGUGUUGUACACCCAUGUCGCGCAGAAGCCUCUUCAACCACUUGAGCUCACGUAGUGCUGCAGCCAUGGAUCUGUACUCUGCUUCAGCCGAUGAAUGCGACACUGUGUCUUGUUUCUUAGUUUUCCAGGAAAUUGGAGAGUUCCCGAGCAGAGUGAUGAACGAUGACAGCGAUCGCCUUGUAUUGGGACAAGCCGCCCAGUCUGCGUCACAGAAUAUGCGGAGACGGAGAUCACUCACAGCAUUCAGCAUGAUCCCUUGCCCUGGACACCCCUUCAAGUAUCUCAUUACUCUCACGACAGCAUCCCAGUGCGCUUCCCUUGGCUUAUGCAUAACCUGCGAUAGUACAUGAAUCGCAUAGCUCAGCUCCGGUCUCGUGAUGGACAGAUACACGAGCUUUCCCACAAAACGCCUGAACCGCGCUGGAUUCUUGUAGAAUGGUCCAGCAACGGACAACAGCUUGUGAUUCUGUUCCAUAGGAGUCGAGACAGGUUUGCACCCAAGCAUCCCUGCUUCUGCUACAAUGUCUAAUGCGUAUUUCCUCUGAGAUAGGAACAUUCCUUCAGGUCCCCUUGCGAUUUCUAUCCCCAGAAAGUAUUUAGCUCUCCCGAGAUCUUUCAUCUUGAAACAUUCAUUCAGAUACACCUUGAACUUGCUCAUCAUGGUUGUAUCGUUACCAGUUAGAAUCAGAUCGUCAACGUAAAUGAGUACUCGCAGCGAUUUUCUCCCUUGAUGUAUGUGAACAAUGAAUAGUCAGAGUAGGAUUGUACAAAGCCAAACUUCUUCAACGCAGUUGUCAGCUUUGCGAACCAGCACCUAGGUGCCUGCUUCAGGCCGUACAAAGAUUUUCUCAACCUACAGACUUUACCCGGCGCACUUGCUUGAAAAUCAGGAGGCAUCUGCAUGUACACUUCUUCUUUCAGAUCCCCAUGGAGGAAAGCGUUGUGUACGUCCAUCUGAUGUACUUCCCAGUUCUUGGCCGCAGCCACUUCCAGGAGAGUUCGUACUGUAGUCAACUUGGCUACGGGGGCGAAAGUCUCAUCGUAGUCUUCUCCUUCUACUUGCCUGUUCCCGCAAACAACCAGACGAGCCUUUGGCCUCUCAAUGCUCCCAUCAGCAUUGUAUUUGUACUUGUAGAUCCACAUACACAUCAGCGCUUUCUUUCCUCUAGGUAGUGCUGUUACGUCCCACGUUCCUUGUUCCUCAAACGCCUCCACCUCUACUGACAUGGCUUCCUUAAAGUUAGGAUCCAGCAUAGCUUCUUUAAAGCUCUUUGGUUCUUUUCCCUCGGUUAUGACUGCAAGAAACACUUGAUGUUUCUCUGAAAAUACAGCGUCAGUAACAUAUGCGGAGAGUGGGUAAGAUGUAUUACCUUGAACCGAAUUGGAGGACCUUGAUGGAGUUGAUGCAGGUGAGAUUGGAGUGGCGUUAUGUUUAUCAAUGAGACACUGUGAGUUGUAGGUCACAUAGUCCCUGAGUUUGACUGAAGGUUGUGAGACUCGCUGUCCUCUUCCCAACAACUGCUCCACUUCGACAGGCUCUGCUACGGACGACUUGCCCUCUGUUUUCUUUGUUUCAGUGACCUGUUCUGCUACGUCCGGUUCAGCAGUUGACACUACGACUGUCUCACUAGCUUCAACUACUGGAACAGUGCUCCCCUCAGACGACUCCUCAAUCAGUAGAGCCUCAUGGAACACUUCCAAGUCAUGAGAUACAGGAAGAGCAUCACUGUUAACCGGCUCAAUCGUCUUCUCUUGAUACGGAAACAUGUCUUCUUGAAACACUACAUCUCGAGACACAAAGAACUCUUGACUCUCCAGAUCGUAUAGUUUCCAUCCUCUCUUCCCGUAAGGAUAUCCCACCAUGAUACACCGCCGGCUUCUCUCCUUGAACUUAUCUUUAUCGCGAGACAUCUUGUGUGCGAAGCACAAGCAACCGAACACUUUGAUGUCGGUAUAGUUUGGUGCCUUGCCGUACAAGCAUUCGUACGGUGUCUUCCCAUGCAGCAGGCUCGAGGGUGUUCUGUUAAUGACAUGAGCUGCGACAAGCACACACUCUCCCCAGAAUUUGACGGGAAGGUUUGCUUGAAACAUCAACGAUCUUGCGACGUUGAGAAUAUGACGGUGCUUCCGCUCAACCCGACCAUUUUGCUGUAGAGUGGCUACACACGACGUCUGAUGUAUGAUUCCAUUUUCCACAAAGUACUUUGACAGGCAAAUAAAUUCGGUACCAUUGUCACUCCUUACUGUCUGUACCUGGCGACCAAACUGUCUCUGAACCAGCUUGCAGAAGUUUGGUAGAACUGUCUUGACCUCAGUUUUCUCAAGUAACAAGUGUAUCCACACAGCCCUCGAGAAGUCAUCAACUAUCGUCAGAAAGCACACUGCACCGCAGGAGGAUUGUUUACGAUAGGGACCCCACAGAUCAACAUGUAUUAACUCAAAUGGUACUGAAGCUUUAUUAGAACUCUCGGAAAACACCCCUCGAGUUUGUUUGGAUUUAAAACAAAUGUCACAACCACCAAAUUUUUCCUUAUUGUCUAAAACACCAGAAACAAAAGGUAAAUGUCCUAAAACACCAAAAGCAGGAUGUCCUAAUCUCCGAUGCCACAGCGUCUUGUCUUCAGUAGACUUGAUUCUGUGUCCUCGUGCCAUAGUAACAUCUCGAUAAACAUAAACGCCAUCCCGUUCUUCACCGGCUCCAAUCAGGGUCCUCGUAAAACAGUCCUGCAACACACAUAGAGUAUCAGUAAACACAGCUAGACAUCCGGUUUGUUUAAGUAGCUUGGCAACCGAUAACAAUGUGCAGUUCAGGUUUGGUACAAACAUAACGUGUAACAAAGUAAUCUUGUCUGAAAGUCUAAGAGAACCACUCUUUGACGCGAAAACUUGACUACCAUCUGCAAAGCUCACAGAGCAGUUCACAAUAUUCACGGUCUCAGUAAGUAGAGAAAGGUCACCAGUCAUAUGAUGAGAUGCCCCAGUGUCUAGGAUCACCUCACCAGUCUGCUGCUUACCGUUCAACUUGUCGGGAAUUGGUGUUGUUUUCUGUUGUUCCAGAAGAGCAGUUAGAGAGGCCCAUUGUUCGUUGGUGAAUCCCGAACCACCAACUUUGGUCGCAGUUUGAGCUGCAUUAGCUCUCACCUGACCCCGUCCUCUGCCUCUGCCUUUGUUACGUCCACCACGCUCACUGUUCUGAUUUCGCUCUGUCCACCACUCCGGAAAUCCGACAAUCUGCCAGCAGUCCUUCUUGUCGUGUCCAGACCUCCCGCAAUGACUGCAAACCAGUGGGCUGCCCUGACUGCGAGCAACUGCUGCGAUCAGACCACUCAUAGACGCGUUGUCGCUGGAACCUCCGUCUGUCUUGGAUAGGAACCCGACUGCAUCCUGUUUUGCUUCACCUCUGGAUGUGAGAAUGCGUCUCUCUUCUCUCACCACUCGCUGAUACACCAAGUUCAGAUCAGGCAGAGGAUCCAUCCCGAUAAUGUUGGUACAUACAUUACCAAAACGAGCGUCAUCUAGUCCCAUCAGGAAGGUGUGCACUUUCUCUUCUUCAUACUCAGCAACAAACUUCUCCGAAGCUCCGCAGGUACACUGUGGAAUUGGCUUGUAACGUACAAGUUCCUCCCACUUCAGUACAAGACGACCAAAAUAGUCCAUAACGCUGGAACCAUCUUGUUUACAAGCCGCCAAUUCUGCUCUCAGUUGAUGCACUCGAACCGCGUUCCCAACCGAGAACCUCUUCUUCAGAUCACACCACAUCUUAUACGCUUCUGGUGUGAACGUUACGGUUGACCUGAUCGUGGGUGAGAUGGAAGCUCGGAUCCAUCCCACAAUCAUGGAAUUCACAGUCUUCCACAUCUCUGCUUCAGUUGGCUUCUCCGCUUCGUUAGGCAACUUGAGAGUACCGUUGAUGAAUCCUGCCUUGCGCUUAGCACACAGCGCAUUCUCCAGUUCCGACGACCAUUCGGCAUAGUUCUCUCCUGUCAACAAGACUGGAGAGAUGGAGACACCAGGAUUAUCUGACGGCGCCAGAUAGUAAGGUGAAAACAUUUUGUUGUCACCAGUGACACUCGCGACUGCGAGAUCUUUAGACAUGAUUUAAGUAUUUUCAACACGUUCUUCGACUGGAUCUAGAAUGGCUCUGAUACCAUGUAAACUUAGGAAGAAGGUGUUGUGAAUGUGUUGUCGUAUUCAUUACGUACAAUGAGAUUAUAUACAUCACAAGAGAUCUCAACAAUAGAUCCUUAGUUAUCAUAAUCUAUAAGUAUAUUCUAUAACAACUAUGAUACGAUCUUAUCUUGACUCCAACAAAGCUUGCUCCUCAAGUCGAACCAGACCGAGCUCAACCG
rnacentral:lncRNA from 1 species